CUACAUCAUGUGGUCUUUUCCCAUAGGGCACAUGUACUUUUACGAAUGCAAUAUAAACCAAAGGAGUUAUCAGGGCUGACGGCCUUUAAGAACAGGCUGAGCGGUAGUAUAAUACUCCUACAUGA